rnacentral:rRNA from 1 species
CCUUUAGAGUUUGAUCCUGGCUCAGGAUGAACGCUGGCGGCGUGCCUAAUACAUGCAAGUCGAGCGAAUGGAUUAAGAGCUUGCUCUUAUGAAGUUAGCGGCGGACGGGUGAGUAACACGUGGGUAACCUGCCCAUAAGACUGGGAUAACUCCGGGAAACCGGGGCUAAUACCGGAUAACAUUUUGAACCGCAUGGUUCGAAAUUGAAAGGCGGCUUCGGCUGUCACUUAUGGAUGGACCCGCGUCGCAUUAGCUAGUUGGUGAGGUAACGGCUCACCAAGGCAACGAUGCGUAGCCGACCUGAGAGGGUGAUCGGCCACACUGGGACUGAGACACGGCCCAGACUCGUACGGGAGGCAGCAGUAGGGAAUCUUCCGCAAUGGACGAAAGUCUGACGGAGCAACGCCGCGUGAGUGAUGAAGGCUUUCGGGUUGUAAAACUCUGUUGUUAGGGAAGAACAAGUGCUAGUUGAAUAAGCUGGCACCUUGACGGUACCUAACCAGAAAGCCACGGCUAACUACGUGCCAGCAGCCGCGGUAAUACGUAGGUGGCAAGCGUUAUCCGGAAUUAUUGGGCGUAAAGCGCGCGCAGGUGGUUUCUUAAGUCUGAUGUGAAAGCCCACGGCUCAACCGUGGAGGGUCAUUGGAAACUGGGAGACUUGAGUGCAGAAGAGGAAAGUGGAAUUCCAUGUGUAGCGGUGAAAUGCGUAGAGAUAUGGAGGAACACCAGUGGCGAAGGCGACUUUCUGGUCUGUAACUGACACUGAGGCGCGAAAGCGUGGGGAGCAAACAGGAUUAGAUACCCUGGUAGUCCACGCCGUAAACGAUGAGUGCUAAGUGUUAGAGGGUUUCCGCCCUUUAGUGCUGAAGUUAACGCAUUAAGCA